AGGAAUAUAUCCAAAGCAUCAUUGAAGGUGCAAGACAGAUACUAAAGAACGAGAUGACUGUAGCCAAAGUUUUAAAAAUCAAGAAAGAGAUCAAGGCAGACAUUGUCACAUGGGCUGAAAGGAAAAUUGUUGAAACAACUGUUCGUAAGGAAAAACUAGAGGUAAGACAUUGGACGAUAUCCCACCAAUGAAAGCCAUCAUGAUAUUUAGUGUGGAUAGUGACUAUAGAUUUUGUAAACAUGGCAGUUGUGUAGAUGGAACAAUCAGAAAUAAAUAAUAAACAAGCUAAAAAGCUACUUUUAUGCCAUGUCAAGAUAACUUUAUUUUAAAUCAAUAAUUGUUUAAAUUAAAACAAAUUUCUUGUGGCUCAUUUUUAAAAAGCCUGCAUUCAAAAAUUUAGUUGGAUAUAAAGAGCAGAAUAAAGUUGAAAAUGGAAGAAAAUACAAGCUCUCAAGAAAAGCUCGAGAGAAAGAAGGAUCUUAUGAAAGCAGUUCAUGAAGGUAAGAAGAGCGAGUGCCUUACUGUAGAUACCUGUCUCAAUACCAGUACAUACAGGCCUU